rnacentral:pre_miRNA from 1 species
ACCCAAAACUAAGUCCUCUCUUGUGUUCCCUUGAUGGUCAGAAAGUGCUUCCUGUUUUGGGCGU